CUCGGGGGCGGGCGCUAGUCUAGGUGUUUUAAACAGUUGGCCAGGUGGCUCCGGCGGGCGCUCCGGCGGGGAUUACCUGACCCUGCAGAGCCGCAGGUGACCGCUCAGGAAUCUCCUCGCGCUUUGCUUUUCUCUGGUGCCGAAUCUAACAGGAAUGCCCGGAAUUCCUGCUCCCGCCCCAGGCUGGACAAAGGGUGCAGGCGUCGGAGGGCGGUCAGCCCAACCCGCGACCCAGAGGCCAUCGCUGAACCACCUAGGCUUUAGUGGGGACAAUCGCGCUUUGCCGUCGGAGGUGGGGGAGACAGGGGUGGAUGGUGGCGGAAUCCACCGGAUCCCGGGGACCUGGUUAGGAGAAUCCCUUUCCAGUAUGUUCUAGGCUGAAUUCUGCCUAUGAGGGGCACCCUCACCAGAUUCAGAAGGCUGAAGGAAGUAGAAGCCAUUCCUCUUGAGAAGCAGCUAUGGAUGCUGCAGUUUGCUUGAAGCUCCUGAAGAACCAGUGGGGUCUGCAGGAGAAGUGCCCGGUGGUUGCUGGGAGGGUGGCAUACAGCACUUCCCAUCGGUGGACCGGGCCCUGGGUCCAGCCACCUGCAUCAACGUUUUCCCCAUUGCCAGUUUGCAGCCUGGAGAAGACUUGUGGGGUCGCUUACAAAGCGGAAUGUGCUUCUGAAGUCAGAAUUGGGAUGAUCGCCCAACUGAGGGGCAGAGGGCUGAGGUCAGGAGCUGUGUACUAAGGAAUUGGGCCUCCCCCAAGAGAAAGAUCUGGCCUUGGUCCCUUUGUCCUGGCUCCUGGGAGGGAACUUCCAAGCCCUUGGAAUCUCCCAAGUAACAGGGGAUUAUUUGUUAUUCAUGGUGGACCCCUGGACCACACCAGAUAUUUUAUUCUAAGAAAGUGACUUAUCAUGUGAUAUCAGCUCAUCCUCCAGGGAUAGGAGGUUGGUUGGAGACUAUGUGGGCCCUGAUUCAUUCUUCGUAAUGAAACCCCCAUACAAAUGAAAUGGAAACAGGACCCUGUGGUCCUUGCCCCCCAUGUCCUCUGCCUGCCUUUUGCCUGUGGAAAAACUUUAGCCAAAGAACAAUUUU